rnacentral:lncRNA from 1 species
AAAUAAGAAUUAAACAAAUAAAUAAAUAAAUCACCGGAUAUUUAGACUAUGCAAUAGGCGAUGUGUCUUUAAGAGACUUAACCCAACUUAGUAUAAAUAGUUUUCAUCAUAAGGAAUCGGAGUGAACCAGGUUUUGAACUCCGUUCCCUUGAGCCCGACUCCAACUACCACGCACACAAUACAGAAUUCUCCGUCGUGAAUCUGUGCAUUAAUGGUCGUCACAGUAUCUUGAUUUUUCAUAAGAGUUUCUAUGGAUAGCCCACAUCUCAUAGCCGCGACCACAUACGGAUACUCUUAUAUAGGUGGUUUUCUCCAGAGAUGUAUGUAGAGUCACAUCUCGCAGAAAUUACCGUCUCGGAUCCGAUUAAGAGCUAUCAGCUCAACCUAAUCCACUACACUGAGCACUAUUCACCGUAGGAAUGGAAUUGGAGCUAAAACUCCUCUAUAUAAACUGUAAAAAGUGCUCUUUGGCCAAUCUAGCAGCUUGUUUUCACCACAUUGAACUUUCUUCAAGAGAUCUCCUAUCACAAAAGUUGGGUUCCCACUGCAGGAAGGCCCUUUACGGGCAAAAUCUCAUCUCCCUCGAUGACACCAGAACUUUAGUUCUAUUUACGCUUUCCGUCAAGUAAUCUGCAAGAUUCUGAUCAGAUCUGAUAAAACUCAAAUAAGUAACAUUAUGAAAAAAUAACCAUCUAAUAAAUUUAUAUCUCAAUAUAAUUUAUCUGCCAAUUUUAGAAUUUACCAAAUUAUUUUUCAAGAUGAACAUUAAGAUUAAAAGACAUAAAAAU